UCCUCCUGGGACUACAUCCAGCUCCCCGCCCCCGCUUUGCGGGCGGGCACCUGCCCACUGCCAAGGGCCCCUGGCUGGGAACCUCCAGGGGAUCUUCAGGCCUCACCUUUCCCAGCUGCCCACCCGGCUCCUCCUCUAUCUGGCGGCUCCUCCUCUAUCUGGCGGCUCCUCCUCUGGCUGCACCCCAGCCCCUGGCUCUGCUUGCCAGAUCCGACCUGUGCGCCCUUCCCUGCGCCCCUUUCUCUGGGUUCAGGGCCCUCUGCGUCUCGGCCGUCCACUCUCUGCUUAACACGAUGGUUUCCUCACUGAGCCCACACCUGUGGUUGCCUGCGUGCUGCCCAGCCCACCUCUCACCUGUGUGCCUUUUCCCUGUCUCCCCCAGUGCAAGAAGGCCUUCCCCCUCAGGGUGACUCAAGUUUCCAGUGGGUCUCCAGUGGCCAAGGCGCAAGCCCCCCAAAACCCGGCAGGCCACCUCCCCCUAGCAUCCUCAGGAGCCCCGGCGGCCCCGGAUCGUGAACGCCUGGACGGAGGAGGUGGAGGAGCUGCCCUGGAGCAGCACGUCUUCUGGAGGGUCACCCGGCGUCUCGCGCCCACCUCGAGCCGCGAUGCUGCUGCCUGGAUUGGGCCGAAGCCAUCAUCUGGAAUCCUCCGUGGUCCAGGACCUCGAACCCGCCACCCCAGCACCCUCUAGCUCCAUAAUCCCUCCGCAGCCACAGGGGACACCUGCACGCGUUCCCACGGGACAGGCUGGACCCAAAGACUCUGGACCUGGGCCGACCCCCCUGUGCAGAGGGGCGUGUCCUCCCCGCCUCCCCUCCCUCUGACUGAU